GAAUUUGGGAGUAUAAAUAUAAAGUCACCAGGUCCCAUCUGAUCUUGGAAGCUAAGCAGGAUCAGCCUUGGUUAGUACUUAGAUAGAAGACCACCAAUGAAGUCCAGAUGCUGUAGGCU
rnacentral:rRNA from 1 species